AAGAGCUGCGUUACCCCGCUCGCGCUGGCACUGCUGUAAACGAACAAGGGCAUGACACUUGCCCAGGGAUUCAUGCUCUCAUUGAGCACAUGGAGCACUCCCGGAGUCAAGAUCGCGCCCUGAACCACGUGAAAGGAAAUGAUAAGGAAAAAAAAAGACGCACACUGGAUGAGAGCCUGCGGGAAGGCGCCUGAGCUGCCGAGCCAUCCCAGUGAAUUCAUGGAUUCACAGCAGGAUGGGUGUGAAAAAUAAAUACAUCUGAAGGCAACAGAUCUACUGCAUGAGCUACAAAGAACACAAAAAUAACCAGAGGAAAAGAAUCUUUUAUUAUUAUUUUAUUAUUUCCUGGUGUUGACACAGCUGGCUAAAUAAACUAAUUUUGCUCACUUACAAAUAUAAAAUAAAUGGCCAAUGUAGCAUACAAAGAAGCCACCAUCACAACUGAAGUGAUAAUACAUUCUGAACAAUUUCCAUGGCUUUUCCCCUUUGAAAAACCUGAAGGCAAAGAAAAAUGUAACGCAGUCAACAGCCAAAUGUAAGUGGAGUUUCAGACAACAGAGCCUGAAGAAUCUUGACGUGCUCAGUGAUGCUCCGGGCGCUGGUGGGCUCCCUGCUAGAGAUCCCAGGGAACAGCUGGAGAGCCUGGGGAACAGCUCCGCCUGUGGGCCACAGUCCUUCAACGUGGGGGAACGCUCCACCCACCUGGAGUUAGCAUCAGCAGCCACAAGUUAAGGGAUGUCUCACGUGACUCCUCCCACUUCAGGCACCGUCACCAGGACUUGUGACCUACUGGCUAUAAAUUCAGAGGAUUCACCUCAAGUCCUACCAUUUGCGAGAACAACUCACAGAACUCAGGAAAGCACUCUGAUUCAAAUUUAUCAUCAAGUGACCUACAGAAUCAAUGAAAUUUCAAAUCCUAAUCGGCCUAUCUAUUUCAUAGAUCUUAAGCAAAUUUUAAAAUAAAGCAUAAAGAAUAAAGAUGCAGACAAGCCAGGAAAUUUGUGAAGAUGACCACAAGAGAACUUAUGUA